CCUACGGGGUGCAGCAGUGGGGAAUAUUGGGCAAUGGAGGCAACUCUUACCCAGCAAUGCCGCGUGAAUGAAGAAGGUCUUCGGUUUGUAAAGUUCUUUAAUUGGGGACGAAAAAACUGACGGUACUCAAGGAAUAAGCCUCGGUUAACUACGUGCCAGCAGCGGCUGCAAUACGUAGGGGGCAAGCGUGGUUCGGAAUGAGUCGGGGUAAAGGGUGUGUAGGCGGGGUAGGAACUGAGAAGUGAAAUACCUUGAGCUUAACUCAGGUGCUGCUUCUAAAAGUGCGAGACUUGAGUGUGGGAGAGGAAGGUGGAAGGCGUGGUGGAGCGGGGGAAGGCGUAGAGAUGAGGAGGA
rnacentral:rRNA from 1 species